UGCCAAUUCUGGCACAGAGGGUCAGCUAUUACAUGCAAACUCAUGUCAACUGAUCUCUCUAUUUCUUUUUCUUUCUUCCUUUUUUUGCUUUAGGGGGUGGGGGUUUGGGGAGUGUGGAGUUGUUGACUUAUUUUCAAAGACAUCAACAUAAAUCUACAAGGUGAUAAAUUUAUGAGAGUAAUAAAAGAAACAUUUACAGAGUUAAGAGGAAUCAAUUGGUGGCCAAACUGUCUGAAUCAACAUCAUCAACAGUGAGCCAGUCACUGGAUUCUUCGCCUUCGGAAUCUUUAUCCCGGUGAAUAGAUUGGCCAGUCUUCUGUUGACUACCUUGAGCUUUAGAGUUCUCAUUUAGUUGAAUCCAUUCAUGAGAUUCACUAGAUGAAGAAACUUUCUUUCUGUGUGUGGGCUUGCUUCCUAGCAGUCUACUAUCCGAUAGGUCGGUAUCAUCAUCCUCAAGAUCACUGAAAGAAACGUCGUCCUCGUUCUUGUCAGCAUAUGAGAUUGUACCUUUGGACUUUUCAUCUUCUAACUGUUCUUGACGUUUCUCGUCAUGAAAACUGUCUUUAUCUUGAGAGACAUUUGUUGUCUCCUCUGAAAUAUUUUUCUCUUCCAAUUUACUUUCAGACGCGUGCUGUCCACUGAUCUUGACAUCCUUCUCAGAUGCAUCAACAGUCUCAGAGUCCUUAGAUUCUUGUGGCUGUGGAUCUUUCUUACUUUGCAGCUGCUGCAGAAGUGUCUCCCUUACUUCAACAAUCUCAGGAGUUGACAACAGCUCCAAGUCAUUCCCACUCAACCUUGGAAGCAAUAAAACGAAAUAGAUCAUCCAAAAUUGCAGAUCAGAUAAUUCAUGGCAAACCAUCUGCCUCAAGGACUCAAGUCCAGGCACAAACUGCACAAUAGAUGCCACAUGUUCUUUCUGACUAUCAGACAUGGAAAAAUCACUGGGUAGAGAGAGUGGAAAAUCAGUCCACAACUGUGGCCGUUGUGAGAUUGUGCCAACAAAAUCCACAACGUCAUCCGUAAUACCUACAACUUCCUCUUCAUCAUCAUCAUAAUCGUCAUCUCCAUCUUCAUCUUCAGCAUUUUCAUGAUCAACUGACUCAUCACCAAACUGUAAAAAAUUGGAAGCCAACUUGGAAAACUUUGAAACAGUUUUGUUUGAAGAAAACAAAGAUAAACCCGAUUUAAAGCUAUCUCCAAUCUCCACUAAAUCACUCUUGAUUCCACUAAAUUUUUCAGCUGACGAUUCUUGCUCCGGCUGAGUUGGCGAUGUCGGCGCAAGAAAGGCAGCGACACCGCGAAGAUGCUGUGAGAAAGUCUGGGAGAUGGCUGAGAAGUCUUCCUUCAUGCCGGAUGAAUUGGGAUCGGAACCCUUCGCCGCCGGUGAUGAGGAUUUUUCACCGCCGUCGCCGUCGCCGUCGCCGUCGUCAUCGAAUUUGAAAGGAUUUGGAAGAGGAAGAGAGAACCAAGAUGACAUUUUUA
rnacentral:misc_RNA from 1 species